rnacentral:rRNA from 1 species
GCUUGCUUGGUGGAUCAGUGGCGAACGGGUGAGUAACACGUGAGCAACCUGCCCUGGACUCUGGGAUAAGCGCUGGAAACGGCGUCUAAUACUGGAUAUGAGCUCCUUCCGCAUGGUGGGGGUUGGAAAGAUUUUUCGGUCUGGGAUGGGCUCGCGGCCUAUCAGCUUGUUGGUGAGGUAAUGGCUCACCAAGGCGUCGACGGGUAGCCGGCCUGAGAGGGUGACCGGCCACACUGGGACUGAGACACGGCCCAGACUCCUACGGGAGGCAGCAGUGGGGAAUAUUGCACAAUGGGCGGAAGCCUGAUGCAGCAACGCCGCGUGAGGGAUGACGGCCUUCGGGUUGUAAACCUCUUUUAGCAGGGAAGAAGCGAAAGUGACGGUACCUGCAGAAAAAGCGCCGGCUAACUACGUGCCAGCAGCCGCGGUAAUACGUAGGGCGCAAGCGUUAUCCGGAAUUAUUGGGCGUAAAGAGCUCGUAGGCGGUUUGUCGCGUCUGCUGUGAAAUCCCGAGGCUCAACCUCGGGCCUGCAGUGGGUACGGGCAGACUAGAGUGCGGUAGGGGAGAUUGGAAUUCCUGGUGUAGCGGUGGAAUGCGCAGAUAUCAGGAGGAACACCGAUGGCGAAGGCAGAUCUCUGGGCCGUAACUGACGCUGAGGAGCGAAAGGGUGGGGAGCAAACAGGCUUAGAUACCCUGGUAGUCCACCCCGUAAACGUUGGGAACUAGUUGUGGGGACCAUUCCACGGUUUCCGUGACGCAGCUAACGCAUUAAGUUCCCCGCCUGGGGAGUACGGCCGCAAGGCUAAAACUCAAAGGAAUUGACGGGGACCCGCACAAGCGGCGGAGCAUGCGGAUUAAUUCGAUGCAACGCGAAGAACCUUACCAAGGCUUGACAUAUACGAGAACGGGCCAGAAAUGGUCAACUCUUUGGACACUCGUAAACAGGUGGUGCAUGGUUGUCGUCAGCUCGUGUCGUGAGAUGUUGGGUUAAGUCCCGCAACGAGCGCAACCCUCGUUCUAUGUUGCCAGCACGUAAUGGUGGGAACUCAUGGGAUACUGCCGGGGUCAACUCGGAGGAAGGUGGGGAUGACGUCAAAUCAUCAUGCCCCUUAUGUCUUGGGCUUCACGCAUGCUACAAUGGCCGGUACAAAGGGCUGCAAUACCGUAAGGUGGAGCGAAUCCCAAAAAGCCGGUCCCAGUUCGGAUUGAGGUCUGCAACUCGACCUCAUGAAGUCGGAGUCGCUAGUAAUCGCAGAUCAGCAACGCUGCGGUGAAUACGUUCCCGGGUCUUGUACACACCGCCCGUCAAGUCAUGAAAGUCGGUAACACCUGAAGCCGGUGGCCCAACCCUUGUGGAGGGAGCCGUCGAAAGUGGGAUCGGUAA